rnacentral:rRNA from 1 species
CCUGCUCAAUGCCCACAAAUAGCCGCUUUAAGUGCUAAGGUAGCAUAAUAAAUUGCCUCCUAAUUAGAGGAUAGAAUGAAUGGAAAAAUGACCUAACAACUGUAUCUAUAUCAAUUAAUUAAAACUACCUACAAAGUAAAAAGACUUUCUCAACGAAGCAGGACGACAAGACCCUAUUGAACUUAACUAAAAGUUCUACUGGGGCGGUAUAAACCUAUAUCUUUUAAUUACCCAUAAUAAAAGCCUAAAAUAAGAAUUAAACCAAGUUACCAUAGGGAUAACAGCGUAAUAAUUUGCUAAAGCUCCCAUAAAACAAAUUGAUUACGACCUCGAUGUUGAAUUAUUGUUACUUAUAAUAGAAACUCAUUAAUAAAGUAAGUCUGUUCGACUUAUAAUACUCUACAU